rnacentral:misc_RNA from 1 species
UCAUGAGGUCCACUAGUAAUCAACUACCAUUUUCCUUGCUCAUAAUCAAUCAGUGAAUCAAAGUGGAGAUCAAUCUCAAUCAUCACCAAUUUACAAAUACAUGAUCGUUUUCGUACAAAAUUAAGGAUGAUGAAGAAAACAGAAACAACUUAAAAAAGGAAAAGAACCAAAUCCCUACAGUUGAAGAGACUAAAGAAAUGGUGGUCUCUAAAAUACAUUAUCAUUACA